rnacentral:rRNA from 1 species
GGUUAAGCGACUAAGCGUACACGGUGGAUGCCCUGGCAGUCAGAGGCGAUGAAGGGCGUGCUAAUCUGCGAUAAGCGCCGGUAAGGUGAUAUGAACCGUUAUAACCGGCGAUACCCGAAUGGGGAAACCCAGUGUGAUUCGUCACACUAUCAUUAACUGAAUCCAUAGGUUAAUGAGGCGAACCGGGGGAACUGAAACAUCUAAGUACCCCUAAGUACCCCG